AGAGUUUGAUCAUGGCUCAGAAUCAACGCUGGCGGCGUGCCUAACACAUGCAAGUCGAACGCGGUUGCUUCUGCUUCGCAAGAAGUAGUUGCAACUGAGUGGCGAACGGGUGAGUAACACGUGGGUGACCUGCCUUCGAGUGGGGGAUAACAUCCCGAAAGGGGUGCUAAUACCGCAUGACAUCCUGCCUUUGAAGAGGUGGCGAUUAAAGCCGGGGAUCGCAAGACCUGGCGCUUGAAGAGGGGCCCGCGUCCGAUUAGCUAGUUGGUGGGGUAAUGGCCUACCAAGGCGACGAUCGGUAGCCGGCCUGAGAGGGCGGACGGCCACACUGGGACUGAGACACGGCCCAGACUCCUACGGGAGGCAGCAGUGGGGAAUUGUUCGCAAUGGGCGCAAGCCUGACGACGCAACGCCGCGUGGAGGACGAAGAUCUUCGGGUCGUAAACUCCUUUCGAUCGGGACGAAUGACCGGUGACCUAAUACGUCGCCGGAGUACGGUACCGAGAGAGAGCCCCGGCUAACUCGUGCCAGCAGCCGCGGUAAUAC
rnacentral:rRNA from 1 species